CCUACGGGUGGCAGCAGUGAGGAAUAUUGGUCAAUGGGCGCGAGCCUGAACCAGCCAAGUCGCGUGUGGGAAGACGGUCCUAUGGAUUGUAAACCUCUUUUGUCGGGGGGCAAAAGACGCCACGCGUGGCGUUCCCAGAGUACCCGACGAGAAAGCAUCGGCUAACUCCGUGCCAGCCGCCGCGGUAAUACGGGGGAUGCGAGCGUUAUCCGGAUUUAUUGGGUUAAAAGGGUGCGCAGGCGGAAGAUCAAGUCAGCGGUAAAAUUGAGAGGCUCAACCUCUUCGAGCCGUUGAAACUGGUUUUCUUGAGUGAGUGAGAAGUAUGCAGAAUGCGUGGUGUAGCGGUGAAAUGCAUAGAUAUCACGCAGAACUCCGAUUGCGAAGGCAGCAUACCGGCGCUAAACUGACGCUCAUGCACGAAAGUGUGGGGAUCGAACAGGAUUAGAUACCCGGGUAGUC
rnacentral:rRNA from 1 species